UGCAAGUCGAGGGGCAGCACGAUUGAGCUUGCUUAAUUGGUGGCGACCGGCGCACGGGUGCGUAACGCGUAUGCAACCUACCUUAUACUGGGGUAUAGCCCGGAGAAAUUCGGAUUAAUCCCCCAUAGUAUUAUCGAUUCGCAUGUUUUGAUAAUUAAAGGUUACGGUAUAAGAUGGGCAUGCGUCCCAUUAGCUAGAUGGUGCGGUAACGGCUCACCAUGGCGACGAUGGGUAGGGGGCCUGAGAGGGUGGUCCCCCACACUGGUACUGAGACACGGACCAGACUCCUACGGGAGGCAGCAGUGAGGAAUAUUGGUCAAUGGGCGCAAGCCUGAACCAGCCAUGCCGCGUGCAGGAAGACGGUCCUAUGGAUUGUAAACUGCUUUUAUUUGGGAAUAAACCUCUUUACGUGUAGAGAGCUGAAGGUACCAAAUGAAUAAGCAUCGGCUAACUUCGUGCCAGCAGCCGCGGUAAGACGAAGGAUGCAAGCGUUAUCCGGAUUUAUUGGGUUUAAAGGGAGCGUAGGUGGCCUUAUAAGUCAGUGGUGAAAGACUGUCGCUUAACGACGGAAUUGCCAUUGAUACUGUAGGGCUUGAGUAUAGUUGCUGUGGGCGGAAUAUGACAUGUAGUGGUGAAAU
rnacentral:rRNA from 1 species